GUGGGGAAUAUUGGACAAUGGGCGAAAGCCUGAUCCAGCCAUGCCGCGUGUGUGAAGAAGGUCUUCGGAUUAUAAAGCACUUUAAGUUGGGAGGAAGGGCAGUAAGUUAAUACCUUGCUGUUUUGACGUUACCAACAGAAUAAGCACCGGCUAACUUCGUGCCAGCAGCCGCGGUAAUACGAAGGGUGCAAGCGUUAAUCGGAAUUACUGGGCGUACAGCGCGCGUAGGUGGUUCAGCAAGUUGAAGGUUAAAUCCCCGGGCUCAACCUGGGAACUGCCUCCAAAACUACUGAGCUAGAGUACGGUAGUGAGUAGUGGAAUGUCCUGUGUAGCGGUGAAAUGCGUAGAUAUAGGAAGGAACACCAGUGGCGAAGGCGACUACCUGGACUGAUACUGACACUGAGGUGCGAAAGCGUGGGGAGCAAACAGGAUUAGAUACCCUUGUAGUCC
rnacentral:rRNA from 1 species